rnacentral:rRNA from 1 species
GACGAACGCUGGCGGCGUGCUUAACACAUGCAAGUCGAACGGAAAGGCCCUGCUUUUGUGGGGUGCUCGAGUGGCGAACGGGUGAGUAACACGUGAGUAACCUGCCCUUGACUUUGGGAUAACUUCAGGAAACUGGGGCUAAUACCGGAUAGGAGCUCCUGCUGCAUGGUGGGGGUUGGAAAGUUUCGGCGGUUGGGGAUGGACUCGCGGCUUAUCAGCUUGUUGGUGGGGUAGUGGCUUACCAAGGCUUUGACGGGUAGCCGGCCUGAGAGGGUGACCGGCGAGAGGGGGGCGGAGGAAGGGCCAAGAGUGAGAGGGGGGGAGGAGGAGGAGAACAGCGCACAGUGGAGGGAGGCCUCGUGCGGCGACGCCGCGGGGGGGAUGACGGCCGUGGGGUUGAAACCCGCUUACGCCCGGGGCGGGGAUGGGGGGAAGAUAAUGGGGAAAGAAGCAGCGGCGAACUGCGCGCCAGCGGCAGCGGUACGAGGAGGAGGAGCAGACGUCCGAAC